UACAGAGACCUCAAGCGUUAUCCGGAAUUAUUGGGCGUAAAGCGUACCGAUAGGUGGUUUGGUUAGUCUUGGGUGAAAUCCCGAAGCUCAACUUCGGGUUUGCUUAAGAUACUGCCAGACUAGAGGGGCAAAGAGGAGAUUGGAACGAACGGUGUAGUAGUGAAAUGCGUUGAUAUCGUUCGGAACACCGAAAGCGAAGGCAGAUCUCUGGGUGCCUCCUGACACUGCUAGGACGAAAGCGUGGGUAGCGAAUGGG
rnacentral:rRNA from 1 species